ACAAGCGGUGGAGUAUGUGGUUAAUUCGAUGCAACGCGAAGAACCUUACCUACCCUUGACAUGUCCGGAACUUGCCAGAGAUGGCUUGGUGCCCGAAAGGGAAUCGGAACACAGGUGCUGCAUGGCUGUCGUCAGCUCGUGUCGUGAGAUGUUGGGUUAAGUCCCGCAACGAGCGCAACCCUUAUCAUUAGUUGCUACGCAAGGGCACUCUAAUGAGACUGCCGGUGACAAACCGGAGGAAGGUGGGGAUGACGUCAAAUCAGCACGGCCCUUAUGUCCAGGGCGACACACGUGUUACAAUGGCCGGUACAAAGGGCAGCUACCUGGUGACAGGAUGCUAAUCUCCAAAACCGGUCUCAGUUCGGAUCGAAGUCUGCAACUCGACUUCGUGAAGCUGGAUUCGCUAGUAAUCGCGCAUCAGCCAUGGCGCGGUGAAUACGUUCCCGGGCCUU
rnacentral:rRNA from 1 species